AUUGAACGCUGGCGGCAUGCCUUACACAUGCAAGUCGAACGGCAGCACGGGGGCAACCCUGGUGGCGAGUGGCGAACGGGUGAGUAAUGCAUCGGAACGUGCCCAGUAGUGGGGGAUAACCAGUCGAAAGACUGGCUAAUACCGCAUACGACCUACGGGUGAAAGCGGGGGACCGUAAGGCCUCGCGCUAAUGGAGCGGCCGAUGUCUGAUUAGCUAGUUGGAGGGGUAAGAGCCCACCAAGGCGACGAUCAGUAGCUGGUCUGAGAGGACGACCAGCCACACUGGGACUGAGACACGGCCCAGACUCCUACGGGAGGCAGCAGUGGGGAAUUUUGGACAAUGGGCGCAAGCCUGAUCCAGCCAUGCCGCGUGCGGGAAGAAGGCCUUCGGGUUGUAAACCGCUUUUGGCAGGAACGAAACGGCGCAAGCCAAUACCUUGCGCUAAUGACGGUACCUGCAGAAUAAGCAUCGGCUAACUACGCGCCAGCCGCCGCCGUAAUAC
rnacentral:rRNA from 1 species